rnacentral:rRNA from 1 species
UACGUAGGGUGCGAGCGUUAAUCGGAAUUACUGGGCGUAAAGCGUGCGCAGGCGGUUCGUGAUGUCUGAUGUGAAAGCCCCGGGCUCAACCUGGGAACUGCAUUGGAAACUAGCGGGCUGGAGUGUGGCAGAGGGGGGUGGAAUUCCACGUGUAGCAGUGAAAUGCGUAGAUAUCUGGAGGAACACCGGUGGCGAAGGCGGCAUCCUGGACCAACACUGACGCUGAGGAGCGAAAGCCAGGGGAGCAAACGGG